rnacentral:misc_RNA from 1 species
GAUGAAGAACGUAGCGAAAUGCGAUACUUGGUGUGAAUUGCAGAAUCCCGUGAACCAUCGAGUCUUUGAACGCAAGUUGCGCCCGAAGCCAUUAGGCCGAGGGCACGCCUGCCUGGGCGUCACACGUCGUUGCCCCCCCAUCUACUCCUUCGGGAUUGCGGGGGGCGGAUGAUGGCCUCCCGUGCGCCUCGUCGCGCGGUUGGCAUAAAUGCCAAGUCCUCGGCGACGCACGCCACGCCAAUCGGUGGUUGCGAAACCUCGGUUGCCCGUCGUGUGCGGUCGUCGCGCAUCGAGGGCUCGAAAAAAUUGCCGGGCUCCGGCUCGGCUUUCAACGCGACCCCAGGUCAGGCGGGGUUACCCGCUGAAUUUAAGCAUAUCAAUAAGCGGAGGA